GAUCAACGGAGGUCAGCCUUUUACACCGGAGAGAAGGGAUGGUGUCAACUGGAGAUGGAGGAUGAAGUGAGAAGAGAGACCACGGAGAAAUGACGCCACGAGAGAGUUGCAGUCGUGGGGAAGGAGCCGAAGGAUUCGAGGUCCCGCCGAUACAUUCGCCAGCCACCAGGGGGUUUGACAUGGUGCAGCGUGUUCCAGCAGCAACGAGCGAGGGAGAGACGAGGAGCGGCAUGUUUAUUCAUGU